AGAGUUUGAUCCUGGCUCAGAGCGAACGCUGGCGGCGUGGAUAAGGCAUGCAAGUCGUGCGAUCCCCGCAAGGGGGUAGCGGCAAACGGGUGCGUAACGCGUGGGUAACCUGCCCUUAAGCCUGGGAUAACCCUUCGAAAGGAGGGCUAAUACCAGAUAGUCUCACCUGACUGCAUGGUUGGGUGGGUAAUGGUGGCCUCGACCGCAAGGUUGCUACUGCUUAAGGAGGGGCCCGCGUCCCAUCAGCUUGUUGGUAGGGUAACGGCCUACCAAGGCAUUUGACGGGUAGCUGGCCUGAGAGGGUGGUCAGCCACACUGAGACUGAGACACUGCCCAGACUCCUACGGGAGGCUGCAGUCGAGAAUCUUUGGCAAUGGGCGAAAGCCUGACCAUGCGACGCCGCGUGCGGGACGAAGGCCUUCGGGUCGUAAACCGCUGUCGCGAGGGACGAAGCCUUGCUCAUCUAACAGGGGAGCGGGGUUGACGGUACCUCGAGAGGAAGCCACGGCAAACUCCGUGCCAGCAGCCGCGGUGAUACGGAGGUGGCGAGCGUUGCUCGGAUUCACUGGGUGUAAAGGGCAGGUAGGCGGCUCCGGAAGUCGGGUGUGAAAGCCCACGGCUCAACCGUGGAACGGCGUCCGAAACUCCGGGGCUUGAGGACAGCAGAGGCGAACGGAAUUCCCGGUGUAAGGGUGAAAUCUGUAGAGAUCGGGAGGAACACCAGUGGCGAAGGCGGUUCGCUGGGCUGUCCCUGACGCUGAGAGGCGAAAGCUAGGGGAGCAAACAGGAUUAGAUACCCUGGUAGUCCUAGCUGUAAACGAUGAGCACUAGGUGUUGGCUCGCUUUGGCGGGUCAGUGCCGAAGGUAACCCGUUAAGUGCUCCACCUGGGGACUACGGCCGCAAGGUUGAAACUCAAAGGAAUUGACGGGGGCUAGCACAAGCGGUGGAACAUGUGGUUCAAUUCGAUGCUACGCGAAGAACCUUACCCAGGCUUGACAUGCAGGAAGUAGGAACCUGAAAGGGCGACGAUUCGUAACCAGUCGAACACCUGCACAGGUGCUGCAUGGCUGUCGUCAGCUCGUGCCGUGAGGUGUUGGCUUAAGUGCCACAACGAGCGCAACCAUUACUGUUAGUUGCCAUCGGCUCCGCAAGGAGGCCGGGCACCCUAGCGGGACUGCCAACGACGAGUUGGAGGAAGGUGGUGAUGACGUCAAGUCCGUACGGCCUUUAUGCCUGGGGCCACACACGUGUUACAAUGGGGUCGACAACGCGCUGCCAACCCGCGAGGGUGAGCUAAUCGCUUAAACGGCCCCUCAGUUCGGAUCGCAGGCUGCAAUUCGCCUGCGUGAAGCCGGAAUCGCUAGUAACGGCGGAUCAGCUACGCCGCCGUGAAUACGUUCCCCGGCCUUGUACACACCGCCCGUCAAGCGAUGGGAGCUGGGAGCACCCGAAAUCGGUGACCCAACCCGCAAGGGAAGGAGCCGCCUAAGGUGAGACUGAUGACUGGCGCUAAGUCGGAACAAGGUA
rnacentral:rRNA from 1 species